UCACGAAUGUCCUUGCUGUUCUGACUUUCUAAUAAUCAGGGCAAGCUAAACAUUUGCUAUGGUAAUACCAUGCAUGAUUGAUUCUUUCCCUGGGUCUGGUUUUAUCAAUGCUGGUGAUAAAC
rnacentral:snoRNA from 1 species